AGGAUUCCCCUAGUAACUGCGAGUGAAGAGGGAAAAGCUCAAAUUUAAAAUCUGGCAGUCUUCUGAUUGUCCGAGUUGUAAUUUAGAGAAGUGCUACCCGUGUUGGCCCGUGUAUAAGUUUCCUGGAAUGGAACCUCAUAGAGGGUGAGAAUCCCGUCUUUGACACGGACUACCAAUGCUUUUGUUGGUGUGCUCUCGAAGAGUCGAGUUGUUUGGGAAUGCAGCUCUAAAUGGGUGGUAAAUUCCAUCUAAAGCUAAAUAUUGGGGAGAGACCGAUAGCGAACAAGUACCGUGAGGGAAAGAUGAAAAGAACUUUGGAAAGAGAGUUAAACAGUACGUGAAAUUGCUGAAAGGGAAACGCUUGAAGUCAGUCGCAUUACUUGGGGAUCAACCUGCCUUCGUUGGUUGGUGGUACUUCCUGAUUUAAUGGGUCAGCAUCAGUUUUGACCGGUGGAUAAGAGCUUGAGGAAUGUGGCAUCUCCGGGUGUGUUAUAGCCUCUUGUUGUAUAUAUCGGUUGGGACUGAGGAACUCAGCACGCCGCAAGGCCGGGUUGUUUACAAUCACGUACGUGCUUAGGAUGCUGGCGUAAUGGCUUUAAUCGACCCGUCUUGAAACACGGACCAAGGAGUCUAACAUGCCUGCGAGUGUUUGGGUGGAAAACCCGAGCGCAUAAUGAAAGUGAAAGUUAGGAUCUCUGUUAGUGGAGAGCACUGACACCCGGCCCAGACCUUUUGUGACGGUGCCGCGGUUGAGCAUGUAUGUUGGGACCCGAAAGAUGGUGAACUAUGCCUGAAUAGGGUGAAGCCAGAGGAAACUCUGGUGGAGGCUCGUAGCGAUUCUGA
rnacentral:rRNA from 1 species